rnacentral:rRNA from 1 species
CGCGUAGGCGGAUGUUACAGUCAGGCGUGAAAUUCCUGGGCUCAACCUGGGGGCUGCGUUUGAUACGUGAUGUCUGGAGUUCGGAAGAGGGUCGUGGAAUUCCCAGUGUAGAGGUGAAAUUCGUAGAUAUUGGGAAGAACACCGGUGGCGAAGGCGGCGACCUGGUCCGAUACUGACGCUGAGGCGCGAAAGUGUGGGGAGCAAACAGGAUUAGAUACCCUGGUAGUCCACGCUGUAAACGAUGUGCGCUGGAUGUUGGGUGACAUAGUCAUUCAGUGUCGUAGCUAACGCGAUAAGCGCACCGCCUGGGGAGUACGGCCGCAAGGUUGAA